UACGGAGGGUGCAAGCGUUGUUCGGAUUCAUUGGGCGUAAAGGGUGCGUAGGCGGCGCGGUAAGUCGGGUGUGAAAUCUCGGGGCUUAACUCCGAAACUGCACUCGAUACUGCCGUGCUUGAGGACUGGAGAGGAGACUGGAAUUUACGGUGUAGCGGUGAAAUGCGUAGAUAUCGUAAGGAAGACCAGUGGCGAAGGCGGGUCUCUGGACAGUUCCUGACGCUGAGGCACGAAGGCCAGGGGAGCAAACGGG
rnacentral:rRNA from 1 species